GUUGUUGCCUACUCUCUGGGUGAGGUAGUAGGUUGUAUAGUUGAGAGCUAUACCAUUGGGAGAUAACUGUACAACUUGCUAACUUUCCCAGGGGUGGGGAA